AUUCCAGCUCCAAUAGCGUAUACUAAAGUUGUUGCGGUUAAAAAGCUCGUAGUUGGAUCUUGGAACGUGUUCAAGCGGGUCAGCUUCUGGCUGUUCGCUGCUUGACGUGUUCUUCUAUUUGGUUUUGGUGCGGUGCGCUUAACUGCGUGUCGCUCCCGGCCGAAACGUUUACCUUGAAAAAAUUAGAGUGUUCAAAGCAGACCUGUUUGAGUCUGAAUAUUCGUGCAUGGAAUAAUGAAAUAUGAAUUCGGUUCUAUUUUGUUGGUUUUCGGAACUCGAGUUAAUGAUCAAGAGGGACAGACGGGGGCAUUCGUACUCUGCCGUUAGAGGUGAAAUUCUUGGAUCGGCGGAAGACGCGCAACUGCGAAAGCAUUUGCCAAGAAUGUUUUCAUUA
rnacentral:rRNA from 1 species